rnacentral:snRNA from 1 species
ACUCAUUUUACUAGUGAAUCUAAUAAAAACCUGGAGUGAUUCAGAGAAGACUAACAUGGCCUCUGCAUAAGGAUGACAUGGAAAUUCAUACAGUGUUUUACAGUUUUU